CGGCGGACGGGUGAGUAACACGUGAGUUAUCUGCCCUUUAAGUGAAGGAUACCCUCGAGAAAUCGAGGUUAAUACUGCAUACGUCCCUUCGGGGAGAAAGGUGGCUUUAUGCUAUCGCUAAAGGAUGAGCUUGCGGACUAUUAGCUAGUUGGUAGGGUAAAGGCCUACCAAGGCUUUGAUGGUUAGCCGGCCUGAGAGGGUGAUCGGCCACAUUGGAACUGAGAUACGGUCCAG
rnacentral:rRNA from 1 species